rnacentral:rRNA from 1 species
UACGUAGGUGGCAAGCGUUAUCCGGAUUUACUGGGUGUAAAGGGCGUGUAGGCGGGUUUCCAAGUCGGAUGUGAAAAGGCAAGGCUCAACUUUGCUCGGUCAUCCGAAACUGGAAAUCUUGAGUGUCUGAGGGGAAAGCGGAAUUCCUGGUGGAGCGGUAAAAUGCGUAGAGAUCAGGAGGAACACCGGCGGCGAAGGCGGCUUUCUGGCAGACAACUGACGCUGAGGCGCGAAAGCGUGGGGAGCAAACAGGAUUAGAUACCCGGGUAGUCCCUGAGCGGG